rnacentral:rRNA from 1 species
CUACGGGGGGCAGCAGUGAGGAAUUUUGCGCAAUGGGGGAAACCCUGACGCAGCAACGCCGCGUGAGCGAAGAAGGCCCUCGGGUCGUAAAGCUCUGUCAAGUGGGAAAAAAAUUUUUUGAUCAAUAGUCAAAAGACUUGAUGGUACCACUGGAGGAAGCACCGGCUAACUCCGUGCCAGCAGCCGCGGUAAUACGGAGGGUGCGAGCGUUGUUCGGAUUUACUGGGCGUAAAGAGCGUGUAGGCGGUUUAGCAAGUCAGAUGUGAAAGCCCUGGGCUCAACCCGGGAAGUGCAUUUGAAACUGCUUCACUAGAGUAUGGGAGAGGAGAUUGGAAUUCCUGGUGUAGAGGUGAAAUUCGUAGAUAUCAGGAGGAACACCCGUGGCGAAGGCGAUUCUCUGGACCAAUACUGACGCUGAGACGCGAAAGCGUGGGGAGCAAACAGGAUUAGAUACCCCAGUAGUC